GCUGGGUGCAGUGGUGUACACCUGUAAUCCCAGUGGCUGGGGGAGCUGAGGCAGGAGGAUCGUGAGUUCAAAGCCAGUCUUAGAAAGAGUGAGACCCUGUCUCUA
rnacentral:sRNA from 1 species